GGCGGCACUAGCGCGGUGGUCCCACCUGACCCCAUGCCGAACUCAGAAGUGAAACGCCGUAGCGCCAAUGGUAGUGUGGGGUCUCCCCAUGCGAGAGUAGGGAACUGCCAGGC
rnacentral:rRNA from 1 species